rnacentral:lncRNA from 1 species
CUCAUUCACCUGCAUAAAUCUCAAAGUGAUCUACAAGUGAUCCAAUGGUAGGUUCGCAUGAAUAAAAGCGAAUCUUUUUUUUCCAUGUGAAAGGUACAACCCCUCUCUUAGAGUCAGAGAAAUGCAUGUUUCUGGAUAUCAUAUAUUCUACUUUGCGGCACAAGUUGGGAGACUAAAUUGCAUGACGCUACUCAAAUGCAACCAUCAUACAUUUUAACGCACCCAUAAAUUUUGGGAAAAUCCAUGGCCAAGGAAACCGUAAUUCUUGAUGGCCGUUCACAAAGACAUGCAGAAGAGCCAGAAAACC